AUGGCGACCGUGGCGGCAGGGAGCAGGAGGAGCGGCCGGAGCCGCAAGCCCCUCGCGCCGGUGCUCGACAACGACGCCAACAUCUCCGCCGGAAGGGCCGACCUCGCCGGAGCCCUAACUCCGCAGCCGCACAAGGCCAGGAGGACGUCGCCCAAGAUGCGCAAGGCGGAGGUGGCCCAGACGUCCCCGGUAGCCGACGAGACGAUGGGAACGCCUCCCGCCCAGGACCACGCCGCCGACGUCUCCGUUGGGAAGGCAGAUGUCGCCACGGCACCCGCCUCGACACAGAAGGUGAAGAGGGCGACAUCCAAGCGCGGCCAGGCCAAGGCGGCGGCACCGUCGAUGGCCGACGAGCUGACGGAGCUGCAGGGGAUGCUAAAGCGGCUGCGGCUGGAGAAGGAGAGGGCGGAGGAGAUGGUGCGGGAGCGGGACGAGGUCAUCCGGCAGAAGGAGCAGGAGAUCGAGACCAAGGGCAAGCAGCAGGAGCGCCUCCAGGCCGAGCUCAGGAAGAUGCAGCGCGUCAAGGUGUUCGAGCCCACCAUGAACCUUCCUCUCGUCCAGUCUCUUCUCGGCAAGGACCAGGAAGGAGAUGACAAGGGCAAGAAGAAGAAGAAGAAGAAGGGGAAAGGCAAGGCCGGCAAUGAGAGGAAGAAGCCAGCACCGGCGUACAUUCUGUGGUGCAAAGACCAGUGGGCGGAGAUCAAGAAGAGCCCCGAUGCAGACUUCAAGGAGGUGUCGAACGCCCUGGGCGCCAAAUGGAAGACCCUGAGCAGCGAGGAGAAGCAGCCGUACGAGGAGAGGUACCGGCAGGAGAAGGAGGCCUACCUGCAGGUGGUUGGCCAGGAGAAGCGCGAGGCCGAGGCGAUGAAGCUGCUGGACGAAGAGCAGAUGCGCUGGACGGCGAAAGAAUUGCUGGAACAGUACCUCAAGUUCAGGCAGGAGGCCGAGGAGGGAGACGGCAACAGCAAGAAGGCAAAGAACAAGAUGAAGAAGGAGAAGGAUCCCUCCAAGCCGAAGCAGCCCAUGUCGGCCUACUUCCUCUACUCGCAGGAGAGGCGUGCCGCGCUGGCUGCCGAGAAGAAAAGUGUCCCUGAGACUGGCAAGAUCACUGGGGAAGAGUGGAAGGGCAUGACGGAGGCCCAGAAGGCUCCUUACGAGGAGGCUGCGAGGAAGCAGAAGGAGGAACACCAGAAGCAGAUGGAGGUGUACAAGCAGAAGAAGCUUGAGGAAAAUGCGAGCUUAGAGAAGGAAGAAGAGGAGCAGAAGAAAAUCCUCAAGCAGGAGGCUCUGCAGCUUCUCAGGAAGAAGGAGAAGGCAGACAACAUCAUCAAGAAAAUCAAAGAGAAGCGUCAGAGGAAGAAGCAGCAGCAGAACGCCGACCCGAACAGGCCCAAGAGGCCCGCGUCUUCCUUCCUGCUCUUCAGCAAGGAGGCGAGGAAGCAGCUGGUGGAGGAGCGCCCCGGGGUGAACAACACGACGCUGAGCGCGCUCAUCUCGGUGAAGUGGAAGGAUCUGACCGGCGCAGAGAAGAAGGUGUGGAGCGAGAAAGCGGCCCAAGGGAUGGCCGCGUACAAGAGGGAGAUGGAGGAGUACACCAAAGCUCACACCUCCGCCUCCUCAUCACCUGUUGCUUAG
rnacentral:rRNA from 1 species